ensembl:lncRNA
CCUGCUUGUUCAAUUGUCUCUGAACAAGGAAAAGCGACACAUAUCUGGGUGGUGCAGGCAGGUUCCCCCUCACGGAGGCAGCGGGGCACUGAAAGGCUUCUUUCUGCUGGAGGCCUUUUCUCUCCGGGCUGCAUUUUCAACGGUUUAUUCCCGAGACAACCGAGGAAGAGGAGGAGGAGGGGGCGAGAAGAGAGAAACACUAAUUAUGUCUGAGAGCCCCGAGGAGCAGCAGAGCACUGGAGUCUUGGGCCGAAUCGGGAGCUGGCUCUCUCCAUGGAGGGGAAAGGCUCCAACUAGUCCCACUGAAAAUGCCUCUGCGAGUAGCGGUCAGGCUCUUAAGUCAGAGGAGGAAAAGGAGAGUGAGGAAUCUGUGAGACUCUGUGGGACAGGGACACGAGAGUCGGAGCAGGAGGAGGAGGGCCGACUAUCCAAUCGCAAUCCACUCCGUCCCUCCGGAGACAUUUUCCCUUGUGAAGAGGUGGACGCCACUCGGUCUGCCCACAGAGACGGCUCUGUUGCGAGCAGCGCUGAGAAAGCGGAUCCAAAGAAGGAGGAGCUGGUGGAGUGCAGGACAAAGAGAGUCGUGCAAGGCAAGCAGAGGGAGGAGAGCGGCACCGGCACAUUAGCCGGCGGGACAGACGCCCGUCAGGUGACACAUCAGUCCUCCUCCGCAGAGCAGGGC